AUGCUUUUCAGUUUACAAAGCAAACCUUCCUCAAAACAACCUGUGUAAAGUAGUAAAAAUGCAACUAAUCCCCUCUGACUGUUGAAACUGAAGCUAAAGUGAGUGAUUUGCCCACAUUCACAAGGCUAACAAACAGCAGAUCUGGGGCUGGAACCCCAAGCCAGGUCUUCUGGCUUGAAGCUAGCACUCUUUCCAUUACACCAACUGCCCCAGUUGAUGUUCAGUUUGUUUUAACAUCCAUUUGUAUGCCCUAUUAAAGCCCUUGAAAUAAACGAAUUUAUACACUAAGAUCCAGAUUUGGGUAGCUCAGUGGUGCAGUGGAUAGAGUGCCAGGAAAGUCAGGAAGACACUUUCCUGAAUUCAAAUCUGGUCUCAGACACUUUCUAGCUAUGUGACCCUGGGCAAGUCACUUAAUCCUGUUUGCCUCAGUUUCCUCAUCUGUAAAAUGAGCUGGAAGAGGAAAUGGCAAACUACUCCAGUAUCUCUGCCAAAUGAGAUCACAGAGUAUCAGACAGGACUAAAAUGACUGAACAACAACAAAAGAUCCUGAUUGUGGGUGGAUCUUAAUCCCAAUAUUUUAAAUGAGUAUUUAUUGGGCUGUACUUUGCCAUCUAUUCAAUUUUAGCACAGGGGCAAUUACUGUUCCUACUUCCCCAGAAAUAAAAUAAUUGCAGCUUGAAUUGAUAUGGUAUUUAAUAUUGAGGAAAUUAAGGCUCUGGGUGGUGAUGUGGUUAGAGUUAGAAUACGAACCCAGACCCUCUGACUCAUCGAGCUAAAAGAGAAGGACCUGGAAACAGAAUCAUAAAAUUUGGUUGAGCAGCUGUGGGGAUGGCUUGUCUUGGCACAUCAUGUAUUGAAGACAUUGCUUUUGGACCUAGUCAGGGGGUCUCCGUGGUACAGUCAGGCUCUGGUCUGACUUGUUCCUUUUUUAAUAGAUAUGGCCCUAAAGAAGUAAUCGCUGUCUUGGGUCACCCUGGAAUUGUCAUAAGGAGUUUCCCAAAAGGGCCAGUCCUACAUAGAAAGUAGUUCCUUACUGGACAAGAAAAUUGCCAUUACAAGGUGGUCACUGAUGAAACUGAAAAAACUAACGGUAAGACUUUAAUCAUGCAACAACUAUAGUUGCACUGCCAGAUACCCUGAACUCCCAGGACACUCCUGGCAUCCUUGGAAUUGGCCCAGGUGUCCAAAGAGCUCCCAAAGGAACCAACGCUACAGUUCCCAAGACCAAGGGAAUGUUGAAUGUCUGAAGAUUCCCUCAGGAGCACUGUCACUCACUGCUUCUUUCGGGAAUGCUUUGUGGAUCUGGAGCUGGUGUGGCAAGAUGAGGACUGCCUUGGACAGCAGCAGACUUUCCUAAGCUGUCUGUCCUUUAUCAUGACUCCAAAAACCUGCUGUGGUAUUGGGAUAGGUUUUGUUCAUAUAUAAGAAAUCAUUUCUUCUGGCCAGCCCUAGCCACGGAACCUCACCAUCUUCUUCCUGUGCCAGCACAAACAUUCUUCUCCUGCCCUCCAUUCUCCUUUGCACCCCUUGUUCUAUGAACAUUGAUCGAAUGGAUAUUACCAUUGUAGUAAAGGGAAGGGAAUGUGUAUUUAUAUAGCACUUAACAUGUGCCAGCCAGGCACUGUGCAAGGCUCUUUUUACAAAGAUUAUCUCCAGGGCUUAGAGAAAAGACACAUCAUUCAAUCUGGCCUGUGACUCCAUUCGGAAUCCAAAUGGUUUCACCCUUCCUUGCCCAUAGUUCUCCUAUAUGUGUUGUCUUCUUCUGUUAGAGAGCAAGAUUUUAUUUUAUUUAUUUUUUAAAUCCGUACUUUCCAUUUUGGAAUCAAUACUGUGUAUUGGUUCUAAGGCAGAAGAGUGGUAAGGGCUAGGCAAUGGGGGUCAAGUGACUUGCCCAGGGUCACACAGCUGAGAAGUAUCUGAGGUUACAUUUGAACCCAGAACCUCCCAUAUCUGGGCCUGGCUCUCAAUCCACUGAGCCACUCAGCUGCCCCCUGAGAGCAAGAUUUUAAAGGGCAGAGCAAUCACUCUCUGUAUUGGGAUCUCUAGCACUUAGCCCUGUGCUUUGAACAUUCAUACUUUUUCAUUCAUUUGUUAUAAUGAAACAGAUUCUAAUUCUAUUUGAGGAUGAACUUCCAAAUUAUUAUGAAAAUACAGAAAUGGAUUUUGGCCAGCUUUGUGAGCUCCCCAUCUUUAGAGACAUUCCAGAAAAGACUAAAUUAUGAUGUUGCGGAGGUAUUGUAUAAGUGCUUUGUGUAUGAGAUAGGAGGUUGAAAUGGUAGCUUCUUCCAGAUGCCCUCCAACUCUGAGACUCAAUGAUUCUAUAAUCUCUUUUAUUUAUCUAAGCCUAUAGAUAAAUAGGAAAUGCUAAAAAUAAAAAAGGUGUGAGCCUCCA
ensembl:lncRNA